UGAGAAACGCCAUUGAGCAUUAAACCCUACUAAAUAAGUUGCCGACUGUUGGAUCCUUGAGGCAGAGCGGAGAGAGAUGUCAGAGGCGGCGGCGGAGACAAGUGGGUUGCUGAGGAUGGCAGAGAUAGAAGGGAGAGGGAGGGGUCUGGUGGCGUCCCAGCCACUGAGGGCUGGUCAGGUUGUCCUCAGGGACUCUCCCGUACUCCUCUACUCUGCUCUUCCUUUGAUCAACCAAUCCUCUUUCUCUUCUUCCCCUUACUCCUCCACUUCCAACAUGUACUGCUCCAAGUGCUUCAGAAGCUUACAAUCCUCUUCUUCUUCAACCUCAGUGGUGCCUUGCCCUUGUUGUUCCCAUCAUCAUGUAUUCUGUAGCCAAAACUGCCUGUCCGCUGCGCUCACAUCAUCCCACUCUCCAUGGGUAUGCCAAGCCCUUUCUCGUCUUCGAGAUUGCCCCUCUCUCGUGCUUGAACAACCCAUGGAACGCCAGGUCCAGGCCCGUUUUCUGGUGGCCGCCUACCAUCUUGCCCUUUUCUUCCCUUCCCAAUUCCAGAUUCUGCUCUCCCUUGAGGGCGCGCCUAACGCCCCUGACACCACCGCUGCGCAAUUCCUGCAUUCCCUCAUCUGCUCCCUCUGCCCUCCUCAUCCUACUCUUGAGCCAUUCUCGGUGGAACUCACGGCCACAUUGCUGGCCAAGGACAAGUUCAAUGCCUUUGGGCUGAUGGAGCCUUUCUCCUCCCGUGACGAUGGCCAACGUUCCGUCCGAGCUUAUGGUAUCUACCCGAAUGCUUCUUUCUUCAACCACGACUGCCUUCCUAAUGCCUGCCGUUUCGACUACGUCGACACCGCCCCCGACCACCACAACAACACCGACAUCAUCGUUCGCGUUGUUCAUGAUGUUCCACAAGGCAGGGAGAUCUGCUUGAGCUAUUUUCCCGUCAACGAGAAUUAUGCCAGCAGGCAGAGGAGAUUGAUGGAGGACUAUGGCUUCACUUGCCAUUGUGACCGCUGCGAGGUCGAAGCCAAUUGGUCCGAUCAUGAAGACGAUGAUGUUGCCGAGGAGGUAGAGGAGGAGAAAGACGAGCUGAUGGACGAGGACCACCAUGACCAAAUGGCAUCCUCCCAAGGACAAGGAGAUGCUGAUUUCCCUCACGCCUAUUUUUUUAUCAGAUACAUGUGUGAUAGGGAAAAUUGCUGGGGCACCAUGGCUCCUUUGCCCCCCAAGGACGACGCUACUCCCUCUGACGUCUUGGAAUGUAAUGUAUGCGGCAACCUCAAGCAUGACCAAGCCGAUGCUAGUGGAGGAGAAGACGAGCUUUCCAUGGAUGACUGAGUUCUCUUCCUUCCUGCCUCUGUGACUGUUGGAAUGACUGCGAUUCCAAAUUAUCUUCUUGCCCGUGCCAGUUGAAAAGGCAGGCAUGUUGCAGAAAUUCCUGGGUUUGCAAUCUAAUUGUCGGGCUUCUGGGAUAAAUUGAUCAAUACUUUUGUCAAGACUCGUUGAGUUAGUCCAAUGACAUUCUGCUCUGGAUCAACUUAAUAUGGGAUUGUUUCGUGCCAUCCAUAACUUGGUACAUUCUUGACAAUAGAUAUUCUGUGUUGUUGUUGCAAGCUUGCAAAGAGGAGAAUUCAUUCAUCAUGCCCUUAUCUGUAUCUCUGGCUGGAUGGCGCUGGAAAAGACUCUCCCUUGUAAUAUUUUUCUCUUCUUUAAAAACCAUCUUUAAUUCGUACUUUGUAGAUUUUCUUGGUAUAGGCCAACUAGCAUUUUGCGGUGCUUGUUGAGGGAGAUUAUUACUCAUGGCAUUUAUGGAUGGAUAAAUGUUGCUGCUGCCAAGUGCCAAGUGAUAUACUUAUGUAGCCAUAAUCCAAAUUUUUAGUUUGUGAAGUGUAAAAGUUCUUUCAAAUUAAAGGCCUGUAAUGGUGUAGUGGGAUACAAGGCUUAUUACCACGCUGAUUGAAGGCUAGGAUGAUUCUUCUUC